rnacentral:ncRNA from 1 species
AAAUCAAUUAAGGGGUGCCUCAUAAAAACGGGCUGAGAACAUACCCUGGACCUGAUCCUGAUAAUGCAGGCGUAGGAAUUAAUAAUAUCGCAAAUG